GACUGUCUAUGGUUGGACAUAGACAAGGAAUCUAAGCUAAGUACACACUGCUUCAUAAUACAAUGCUGUAUGUUUUCCUUCUCGGCACAUAAUAUCGGUUUUAUUGUUAUGUAAAACCGUAAUAUUUUGACACAGUCGAAAUUAUAUUCCUAACAUUAGUAAAAUAACAUUUUAAUAUUUUUUUUAUAGGUUAUGUAUUGAAAUUGUUGGAAAAUUAUUUCAUGUUUUAGCUGGAAAACUACAUGGAGAAUUAUAUGCAAUACAAGAUAAUGAGCUCCAUCAAAUGAAUUCGAAUGAAACCAAACUGUUUACCAUCCAAAUUCGAUUGUCGGGCAGAUAGAAAACGAAAAUUCACUCAUAGUGAACCUCGGCCUGCAUUUGUGAAACGGCAAAGACUCACUAUUAUCAAGGAAAUUGAAGAGACGACUAAAAAUGAGAUGUGUCGUAUUAUUAUACCUUUGCCAUCUUGUAGUCAAGAUGUCCAGCCACUUGAAAAUAGGUGUAGUAAUGACAAAGCUAUCCAAGUAGCUCCAGCACAGGAACACAAAGGCAAGGCAAGUGUGUAUUGCCACAUCACCCCUUAAUAUAUCUGAAGCAAGUAUAAGUAAACAAUCAGAACCAGCAAAAAAAAAAACUGUUGUUCCUGAGGACAAAUUUGACAGUGAUGAGUCAAAUGCACCAGCAACAGAAGGAUCAACUGUUGACUAUGGGUUAUAGAAGAAGAAGAUUAAUUCAUAUUUAUUCAUUAUCGUGCAAAAUUCGUGGUCAAAACAUAUGUGUAUUUUAUAAAUAAAUAUUCAUUCUCAGUA